CUUGGCUUGGACAUGGAUUGUUUCUUCGAUGCAGAUGAGGAUCAACACGAGCGAGGCGUGGACUUGACUCGCGGCACGGCUCGUUCAACCCGGGGAUGCAAACAGAACACUCCGGACAGGACUUGCAGAUGUCAUCAGUGUUUGAACCUGACAGCGACGUGUCGGCCGCAGCUUUUUCAGACUCUCAAGUGAGGGAAAAUACGGAAGGUGUUUUGUGUUUCACGCCCCAAGACAGUCUCUGUUCGCCAACAAGAACUCUUAACCUCGACUCCACGCUCGGCCCUCCGCGCCUUGACAUGAGGUCACAAAGCCGUGGGGCUUUCUGGACAAUCAACCUGCAAAGAAAUACUGAUCUGAAAGAGAAAAAAAUGAUCCCUGCUGUGCAGGUGCAUCCAUGCUACAAGGUUUCCAUGUCCACGGCGUGACAGGCGACGAGGCAAUCAUCCCCAGAGAUGGUGAU